UACAGAGGGUGCGAGCGUUGUUCGGAAUCAUUGGGCGUAAAGCGCUUGUAGGCGGCUUGUUAAGUCGCGUGUGAAAUCCCUUGGCUCAACCAAGGAAGUGCGCGCGAAACUGGCGAGCUCGAGUGCCGGAGAGGGUCGCGGAAUUCCCGGUGUAGAGGUGAAAUUCGUAGAUAUCGGGAGGAACACCAGUGGCGAAGGCGGCGACCUGGACGGACACUGACGCUGAGACGCGAAAGCGUGGGGAGCAAACAGG
rnacentral:rRNA from 2 species